AUUAAAGAAUUUUCCAUACUCUAAUGUGAAAUGAUAUUUACUAAAUCUCUAGAGUCAUCUUUAUUGUUUAUGAACUAGUGAACUACCGCUUUGAGUGUAUAAAAUGAAAUGUCAUUUUCGUAUCUUUUCCUAAGUUAAUCUUACACCACCCUCUUUUUUUAUUAUGGGCCUUACACCACCCUUUUAAGGAUUGGAAAAGGUGUUAAGAAAUGGGGUUGUAAACUAUACACUGACAUAUCUAAACAACUUUAAUAAUCACUAAUUUUUUAAUAUCUUUCUUGCGUCUUUAUAACCGGUGAAAAAAACUCAUUAGACAUUGAGGAAAAAAUUAAUGUUUGUUGCAUGAAUAGAGAGAAAAAAAUAUGUUACAAAUCUUUAAGCCUCUUUAUGCUAUGAUCGUCUUUAUUUCUCUAUUUUUUGUUGUACUGGACGUAAGCGCCGGUCGUGGUUAUUAUUGUUCUGAAAACGUUUGGUGUCAUCAAGGUUUGUGUACACAUCCUAUGAAAGCGAUUUGUGCCCCUGAUAAUCUAUGUGUGUGCAUGUGAAAUAGUUACAGUUAAAUUAGUGACUUAUUGCAUUAUAUAUUAGUUUUUUUUGUGGUUGUUUUUGAAUAGUUCUUUUGACGGGCGCAAACCAUCCUCUUCUUGGAGCAACCCUAGCCGCCGCCACCGCCGUCGCCGUCCAACCAGUCGCGCCUCCUCUCACACCGAACCCGUCGUGAUGUAGCUGUGCAUAGAGGUGGUGCGAUUGUUUCCCUUGGCCAUUUAUAUUGACAAUUUAGUUUGGAUAUCUUUUUCUGGACCGAUCCUUGGUUGGGCGGGAUUUCCCUUGUGUGAGAGAUUUAGGCGCUUAUUUGAUUUGGCGGAGAAUAAGUCGAGUACAGUGGCUGAAAUGUAUGCUUUAGGGUGGGAGGCGGGAGGGGCAGCGUGGGUGUGACCGAGACAAUUGUAGGUGUGGGAAGAGGAGAUGUUGGGGGAGUGUCAGAAUUUACUUCACGAUCUCUCUUUGCAGGCCUAGGUUCCUGAUUUGUGGCAGUGGCAGCCUAAUCCGGUUCGCGGUAACUCAGUUAGUGAUGCAUAUCAGCUAUUGACUUCUCAGCACACUAUUACUUUGGAGGCAGUUGAUCAACUUAUUUGGCACAAACAGGUUCCCUUGAAGGUUUCUAUCUUCGCGUGGAGACUAUUGUGAGACAGGUUACCAACAAAAUUUAACUUCGUAUCCUGCGGCAUCAUCACUCCAGAAGCUCAUUUUUGUGUUUCCUGUGGCGGUGUUGAAUUAGCUCAUCACUUAUUCCUCUCUUGCAUCUUUUUUGGUUCUCUUUGGUCGUCAGUAUGGUCAUGGAUUGGUUUCUCGUCGGUGGACUCACAAUACUUGUCUCGCCAUUUUAUUCAUUUCACUUUUCCAUCAGGUGGUCUUCGUGCGCAACGAUCUUUCAUACAACUCAUUUGACUCUUAUGUGUGUGGGUUGUGUGGAGUGGAUGAAAUCAGAGACUUUUCAGAAACUCGGAGUGUACCCUACCUCAAGUAUUAGACAAGGUCAAACUGUAUUCCUAUCAUUGGUUGAAGACAAUAAACAUUAGUCUAGCUUCAAACUACCAUAGUUGGUGGUUGAGCCCGUUUACUUGUUUUGGGAUUGAUUAGUAUUUUUGUUGUUUGUUCGUAUUGACAUUUUGUAAUCUUCUGUAGUUUUUUCCGCACACCUUGUACUGAGAAGAUUAUUUUAAUUAA